UGCCAGCCGCCGCGGUAAUACGGGGGGUGCAAGCGUUAUUCGGAAUUAUUGGUCGUAAAGGGCGCGCAGGCGGUCUUGUCCGUCAGGUGUGAAAGCUCGGGGCUCAACCCCGGAAGUGCACUUGAAACAGCAAGACUUGAAUACGGUAGAGGAGAGAGGAAUUCCUGGUGUAGAGGUGAAAUUCGUAGAUAUCAGGAAGAACACCAGAGGCGAAGGCGGCUUUCUGGACCGAUACUGACGCUGAGACGCGAAAGCGUGGGGAGCAAACAGGAUUAGAUA
rnacentral:rRNA from 1 species